CACAUACGCAUCCUUUGCUGAGGAUACGGUUAACGGAGCGAAAGCGACGUUCAACCGCAAAAGAAGCAGAGGGGGCUUAGUGGUGGGGUGACUGCGUACCUUUUGUAUAAUGGGUCAGCGACUUAUAUUCUGUAGCAAGGUUAACCGUAUAGGGGAGCCGCAGGGAAACCGAGUCUUAAUUGGGCGUUAAGUUGCAGGGUAUAGACCCGAAACCCGGUGAUCUAGCCAUGGGCAGGUUGAAGGUUGGGUAACACUAACUGGAGGACCGAACCGACUAAUGUUGAAAAAUUAGCGGAUGACCUGUGGCUGGGGGUGAAAGGCCAAUCAAACCGGGAGAUAGCUGGUUCUCCCCGAAAGCUAUUUAGGUAGCGCCUCGUGAAUUCAUCUCCGGGGGUAGAGCACUGUUUCGGCUAGGGGGCCAUCCCGGCUUACCAACCCGAUGCAAACUGCGAAUACCGGAGAAUGUUAUCACGGGAGACACACGGCGGGUGCUAACGUCCGUCGUGAAGAGGGAAACAACCCAGACCGCCAGCUAAGGUCCCAAAGUCAUGGUUAAGUGGGAAACGAUGUGGGAAGGCCCAGACAGCCAGGAUGUUGGCUUAGAAGCAGCCAUCAUUUAAAGAAAGCGUAAUAGCUCACUGGUCGAGUCGGCCUGCGCGGAAGAUGUAACGGGGCUAAACCAUGCACCGAAGCUGCGGCAGCGACGCUGAUGCGUUGUUGGGUAGGGGAGCGUUCUGUAAGCCUGCGAAGGUGGCCUGUGAGGGUUGCUGGAGGUAUCAGAAGUGCGAAUGCUGACAUAAGUAACGAUAAAGCGGGUGAAAAGCCCGCUCGCCGGAAGACCAAGGGUUCCUGUCCAACGUUAAUCGGGGCAGGGUGAGUCGACCCCUAAGGCGAGGCCGAAAGGCGUAGUCGAUGGGAAACGGGUUAAUAUUCCCGUACUUGGUGUUACUGCGAAGGGGGGACGGAGAAGGCUAUGUUGGCCGGGCGACGGUUGUCCCGGUUUAAGCGUGUAGGUGUGUGUUCCAGGUAAAUCCGGUUCACUUUAACACUGAGGCGUGACGACGAGGCACUACGGUGCUGAAGCAACAAAUGCCCUGCUUCCAGGAAAAGCCUCUAAGCAUCAGGUAACAUCAAAUCGUACCCCAAACCGACACAGGUGGUCAGGUAGAGAAUACCAAGGCGCUUGAGAGAACUCGGGUGAAGGAACUAGGCAAAAUGGUGCCGUAACUUCGGGAGAAGGCACGCUGACACGUAGGUGAAGUGAUUUACUCAUGGAGCUGAAGUCAGUCGAAGAUACCAGCUGGCUGCAACUGUUUAUUAAAAACACAGCACUGUGCAAACACGAAAGUGGACGUAUACGGUGUGACGCCUGCCCGGUGCCGGAAGGUUAAUUGAUGGGGUCAGCGCAAGCGAAGCUCCUGAUCGAAGCCCCGGUAAACGGCGGCCGUAACUAUAACGGUCCUAAGGUAGCGAAAUUCCUUGUCGGGUAAGUUCCGACCUGCACGAAUGGCGUAAUGAUGGCCAGGCUGUCUCCACCCGAGACUCAGUGAAAUUGAACUCGCUGUGAAGAUGCAGUGUACCCGCGGCAAGACGGAAAGACCCCGUGAACCUUUACUAUAGCUUGACACUGAACAUUGAGCCUUGAUGUGUAGGAUAGGUGGGAGGCUUUGAAGUGUGGACGCCAGUCUGCAUGGAGCCGACCUUGAAAUACCACCCUUUAAUGUUUGAUGUUCUAACGUGGACCCGUUACCCGGGUUGCGGACAGUGUCUGGUGGGUAGUUUGACUGGGGCGGUCUCCUCCUAAAGAGUAACGGAGGAGCACGAAGGUUGGCUAAUCCUGGUCGGACAUCAGGAGGUUAGUGCAAUGGCAUAAGCCAGCUUGACUGCGAGCGUGACGGCGCGAGCAGGUGCGAAAGCAGGUCAUAGUGAUCCGGUGGUUCUGAAUGGAAGGGCCAUCGCUCAACGGAUAAAAGGUACUCCGGGGAUAACAGGCUGAUACCGCCCAAGAGUUCAUAUCGACGGCGGUGUUUGGCACCUCGAUGUCGGCUCAUCACAUCCUGGGGCUGAAGUAGGUCCCAAGGGUAUGGCUGUUCGCCAUUUAAAGUGGUACGCGAGCUGGGUUUAGAACGUCGUGAGACAGUUCGGUCCCUAUCUGCCGUGGGCGCUGGAGAACUGAGGGGGGCUGCUCCUAGUACGAGAGGACCGGAGUGGACGCAUCACUGGUGUUCGGGUUGUCAUGCCAAUGGCACUGCCCG
rnacentral:rRNA from 1 species